CCUACGGGAGGCAGCAGUGAGGGAUAUUGGUCAAUGGGGGAAACCCUGAACCAGCAACGCCGCGUGAGGGAAGACGGUUUUCGGAUUGUAAACCUCUGUCCUCUGUGAAGAUAAUGACGGUAGCAGAGGAGGAAGCUCUGGCCAACUACGUGCCAGCAGCCGUGGUAAUACGGAGGGAGCAAGCGUUGUCCGGAUUUACUGGGUGUAAGGGGGGCGUAGGCGGCCUUGCAAGUCAGAAGUGAAAUUCAUGGGCUGAACCGGUGAACUGCUUUUGAAACUGUAGGGCUUGAGUACAGUAGAGGCAGGCGGAAUUCGCGGUGUAGCGGUGAAAUGCGUAGAGAUCGGGAGGAACACCAGUGGCGAAGGCGGCCUGCUGGGCUUUAACUGACGCUGAAGCACGAAAGCGUGGGUAGCAAACAGGAUUAGAUACCCCUGUAGUC
rnacentral:rRNA from 1 species